rnacentral:rRNA from 1 species
CGGGGUGCAGCAGGCGCGAAAACUUUACAAUGCUGGCAACAGCGAUAAGGGGACCUUGAGUGCCAGGAUACAAUCCUGGCUGUCGUGAUGCCUAAAAAGCAUUAUAUAGCAAGGGCCGGGCAAGACCGGUGCCAGCCGCCGCGGUAACACCGGCGGCUCGAGUGGUAACCGCUAUUAUUGGGUCUAAAGGGUCUGUAGCCGGCUUGGUUAGUCUCUUGGGAAAUCCGGCAGCUUAACUGUCGGGCUUUCAGGAGAUACUGCCAGGCUCGAGACCGGGAGAGGUGAGAGGUACUUCAUGGGUAGGGGUGAAAUCUUGUAAUCCUUGAAGGACCACCAGUGGCGAAGGCGUCUCACCAGAACGGAUCUGACGGCAAGGGACGAAAGCUAGGGGCACGAACCGGAUUAGAUACCCGGGUAGUCCUAGCCGUAAACGAUACUCGCUAGGUGUCGGCCACGGUGCGACCGUGGUCGGUGCCGUAGGGAAGCCGUGAAGCGAGCCACCUGGGAAGUACGGCCGCAAGGCUGAAACUUAAAGGAAUUGGCGGGGGAGCACAAGGGCGAUUCGC